UAUGGAGGGUGCAAGCGUUGCUCGGAAUUAUUGGGCGUAAAGGGCAGGUAGGUGGUCUCAUUUGUCUGGGGUGAAAGCCUUGAGCUUAACUCAAGAAGUGCCCCAGAAACGGUGAGACUCGAGUCCUAGAGAGGUAAGUGGAAUUCCCGGUGUAGCGGUGAAAUGCGUAGAGAUCGGGAGGAACACCAGAGGCGAAGGCGGCUUACUGGAUAGGAACUGACACUCAACUGCGAAAGCGUGGGGAGCAAACAGGAUUAGAUACCCUGGUAGUCCACGCUGUAAACGAUGGGUACUAGGCUUGGUGGGUCUUGACCCCCGCUGAGCCGGCGCUAACGCAAUAAGUACCCCGCCUGGGAAGUACGGUCGCAAGACUAAA
rnacentral:rRNA from 1 species